rnacentral:rRNA from 1 species
UACGGAGGGAGCUAGCGUUGUUCGGAAUUACUGGGCGUAAAGCGCACGUAGGCGGCUAUUCAAGUCGGGGGUGAAGGCCCGGGGCUCAACCCCGGAACUGCCCUCGAAACUAGGUAGCUAGAAUCUUGGAGAGGUCAGUGGAAUUCCGAGUGUAGAGGUGAAAUUCGUAGAUAUUCGGAAGAACACCAGUGGCGAAGGCGACUGACUGGACAAGUAUUGACGCUGAGGUGCGAAAGCGUGGGGAGCAAACAGG